UACAGAGGUCCCGAGCGUUGUUCGGAUUCACUGGGCGUAAAGGGUGCGUAGGUGGCAUGGUAAGUUUGAUGUGAAAGCUCAGGGCUCAACCCUGAAAUGGCAUUGAAUACUACUGUGCUGGAGGUUUGGAGGGGGGACUGGAAUUCUCGGUGUAGCAGUGAAAUGCGUAGAUAUCGAGAGGAACACCAGUGGCGAAGGCGAGUCCCUGGACAACACCUGACACUGAGGCACGAAAGCCAAGGGAGCAAACAGG
rnacentral:rRNA from 1 species